rnacentral:misc_RNA from 1 species
UCCGGCGAAUGCCGGCAGUCUCUUGAGACAUAUAUAACUCAAGACGAGGGUUUCGCUCGUUUACCCACUUAAGGGCACAGCUCACGCCACGAGCUGACGACAACCGUGCAAUACCUGUCAUUCUGUUCCCGAGGGCACGGCCCUAUUUCUAGGGCUUUCAGAAGAUGUCAAGGCCUGGUAAGGUUCUCCGCUUAUCGUCGAAUUAAACCACAUGCUCCACCGCUUGUGCGAUCCCCCGUCAAUUCCUUUGAGUUUUAGCCUUGCGGCCGUACUCCCCAGGCGGCACACUUAACGCGUUAGCUUCGCUACAAGAAGGGUCGAUGCUUCUGAUAGCUAGUGUGCAUCGUUUACGGCGUGGACUA